rnacentral:rRNA from 1 species
GGGUGAGUAACAUGUGGGUAUCUUCCCUUUGGUGAGGAAUAACACGAGGGAACUUGUGCUAAUACCUCAUAAGUCUUUACGGAGAAAGCUUUAUGCGCCAAUGGAUGAGCCCGCACUUGAUUAGUUAGUUGGUGAGGUAAUGGCUCACCAAGACUUUGAUCAAUAGCUGAUUUGAGAGGAUGAUCAGCCACAUUGGGACUGAGACACGGCCCAAACUCCUACGGGAGGCAGCAGUAGGGAAUCUUGCACAAUGGGGGAAACCCUGAUGCAGCGAUGCCGCGUGAGUGAAGAAGGCCUUUGGGUUGUAAAGCUCUUUCGUCGGGGAAGAAAAUGACUGUACCCGAAUAAGAAG